UUUCAAGAUAUUGGCGGAAUA
rnacentral:piRNA from 1 species